rnacentral:rRNA from 1 species
CAGCCGCCGCGGUAAUACGAGGGGGGCAAGCGUUGUUCGGAAUUAUUGGGCGUAAAGGGUGCGUAGGCGGUUCAGCAAGUCUCGUGUGAAAUCUUCGGGCUCAACCCGAAGUCUGCACGGGAAACUACUGGGCUUGAGUAAUGGAGAGGUGAGUGGAAUUUCCGGUGUAGCGGUGAAAUGCGUAGAUAUCGGAAGGAACACCUGUGGCGAAAGCGGCUCACUGGACAUUUACUGACGCUGAUGCACGAAAGCUAGGGGAGCAAACAGGAUUAGAUACCCCGGUAGUCCCUGUCUCUUAUAC